rnacentral:rRNA from 1 species
GAUGAACGCUGGCGGCGUGCUUAACACAUGCAAGUCGAACGAAGCAACUUGUCACGAUCCCUUCGGGGUGACGACUUGUUGACUGAGUGGCGGACGGGUGAGUAACGCGUGGGUAACCUACCUUGUACAGGGGGAUAACAGUUGGAAACGACUGCUAAUACCGCAUAAGCGCACAGCAUCGCAUGAUGCAGUGUGAAAAGUUUUUUCGGUAUAAGAUGGACCCGCGUCUGAUUAGCUAGUUGGUGAGGUAACGGCCCACCAAGGCGACGAUCAGUAGCCGACCUGAGAGGGUGACCGGCCACAUUGGGACUGAGACACGGCCCAAACUCCUACGGGAGGCAGCAGUGGGGAAUAUUGCACAAUGGGCGAAAGCCUGAUGCAGCGACGCCGCGUGAGCGAAGAAGUAUUUCGGUAUGUAAAGCUCUAUCAGCAGGGAAGAUAAUGACGUA